rnacentral:rRNA from 1 species
GACGAACGCUGGCGGCGCGCUUAACACAUGCAAGUCGAACGGAAAGGCCUGCUUUCCCUUGUGGAUUGCGGGUACUCGAGUGGCGAACGGGUGAGUAACACGUGAGUGAUCUGCCCCCAACUUGGGUAUAAGCCUGGGAAACUGGGUCUAAUUCCCGAUAGGACUGCAGGGUGGUGCCUGUGGUGGAAAACGAUGUUCUAGUGGUUGGGGAUGAGCUCGCGGCCUAUCAGCUUGUUGGUGGGGUAAUGGCCUACCAAGGCGGCGACGGGUAGCCGGCCUGGGAGGGUGGACGGCCACAUUGGGACUGAGAUACGGCCCAGACUCCUACGGGAGGCAGCAGUGGGGAAUAUUGCACAAUGGGCGGAAGCCUGAUGCAGCGACGCCGCGUGGGGGAUGACGGCCUUCGGGUUGUAAACUCCUUUCGACCGCGAGGAAGCCACCUGGUUGGAAGGGUGGUGACGGUAGUGGUAGAAGAAGCACCGGCUAACUACGUG